UCUAAAAUGGCAGAUUAGUGCAUUGGAUUUAAACUCCAAAUAUAAAGAAAUUUUUUUAGAA
rnacentral:tRNA from 1 species